GGCGGCGUGCCUAAUACAUGCAAGUCGAGCGAACUGAUUAGAAGCUUGCUUCUAUGACGUUAGCGGCGGACGGGUGAGUAACACGUGGGCAACCUGCCUGUAAGACUGGGAUAACUUCGGGAAACCGAAGCUAAUACCGGAUAGGAUCUUCUCCUUCAUGGGAGAUGAUUGAAAGAUGGUUUCGGCUAUCACUUACAGAUGGGCCCGCGGUGCAUUAGCUAGUUGGUGAGGUAACGGCUCACCAAGGCAACGAUGCAUAGCCGACCUGAGAGGGUGAUCGGCCACACUGGGACUGAGACACGGCCCAGACUCCUACGGGAGGCAGCAGUAGGGAAUCUUCCGCAAUGGACGAAAGUCUGACGGAGCAACGCCGCGUGAGUGAUGAAGGCUUUCGGGUCGUAAAACUCUGUUGUUAGGGAAGAACAAGUACAAGAGUAACUGCUUGUACCUUGACGGUACCUAACCAGAAAGCCACGGCUAACUACGUGCCAGCAGCCGCGGUAAUACGUAGGUGGCAAGCGUUAUCCGGAAUUAUUGGGCGUAAAGCGCGCGCAGGCGGUUUCUUAAGUCUGAUGUGAAAGCCCACGGCUCAACCGUGGAGGGUCAUUGGAAACUGGGGAACUUGAGUGCAGAAGAGAAAAGCGGAAUUCCACGUGUAGCGGUGAAAUGCGUAGAGAUGUGGAGGAACACCAGUGGCGAAGGCGGCUUUUUGGUCUGUAACUGAC
rnacentral:rRNA from 1 species